rnacentral:rRNA from 1 species
GUCACCUGAUGCACAUGAAAUG